rnacentral:rRNA from 1 species
CAGUCGCCGCGGGAAUACAGAGGGUGCAAGUGUUAAUCGGAUUUACUGGGCGUAAAGGGCGCGUAGGUGGUUAUUUAAGUGAGAUGUGAAAGCCCCGGGCUUAACCUGGGAACUGCAUCUUAUACUGGGUAACUGGAGUGCAGUAGAGGGUAGUGGAAUUUCCGGUGUAGCGGUGAAAUGCGUAGAUAUCGGAAGGAACACCAGUGGCGAAGGCGGCUACCUGGACUGAGACUGACACUGAGGCGCGAGAGCGUGGGGAGCAAACAGGAUUAGAUACCCCAGUAGUCCCUGUCUCUUAUAC